CACUGUGGAAAAUAACUACUAUGCUAGCUGUUACUUAUUCACUUCUUAGAGUGUAUUCUAAUGAUGCAUAUUCAUACUGGAAUAUCAGCAAGUAUCACUUGCUGAAGUGGAGCAUGCAUGAGGUAAAUGGAAAAAUAAUGGUUAAUAUUAAUUUUUUUUUAUUGCUUCCACUUACAGUGAAAAAUUAUGUCUGCACCUUGGAUUUCAAGCCACUGUUUGCUGGAAUAUUCAGAAAGCAGCAGCCUGAGCCUGACUUUCCAGAGAACAAGCAUUUCAAAGGCAAUAAGAAAGUUCUGCUGGGAGAUAACAGCAUGGCAGAACCACAGUUGGAGCCUUUUCGAGUUCCUUUGGAGAGGCAGCAUUCCAGCUAUGAAAAAUACAUGACAUAAUGCUGGAGCCUGAUCCUUACAGAGGACAAAAUAUGGAGGAUCAAUACGUAAAGACUAAAGGGCAACCACGCUGUGUAUCUCCACUCCUUGCAUCACUCUUUGGAUUCCACAUCAGAUUUCAGAAGAAUUUUAAUUCUCCAAGGCUGGAUCCCCCAUCAUGAAGCUCAGGCAGUACAUAUCACUGCAAGCUGGCAGUUGCUCCUUGAAAGAGAACUUCUUGAUUCAAAAGACUUUCUAUCUUUCUUUCUAUCUCACAUCUUUGCAUCGGUUUGACUGAAAAUACAUGGGAAAUCUGUUGUGCUGGAGAUUUAUGUGGCUUCUCUGUGUCUUGCCCUUUGUGUGGAUAAGCUUACUGACAUCAGAACUGCUAUAUUUAACCUCCUGAGUUAAUCAGUAGACCACCCGGACUUAACAAACAUUCUAUCAUUGAAAAAGGACAUAUUUGAAUACAACUUCAUGCCAUUGUCUCUAUUUCUGGACUAUUAUUAUCAGCUUUUCAUUCUUUUCACCUUUCCUUUCUGCCUGCCAGAAUUUGCACAGAAAAGUUGGGAAAAA